rnacentral:rRNA from 1 species
CACGGGGGGCCUACGGGAGGCAGCAGUGGGGAAUAUUGCACAAUGGGGGAAACCCUGAUGCAGCCAUGCCGCGUGUGUGAAGAAGGCCUUCGGGUUGUAAAGCACUUUCAGUUGUGAGGAAAGGUUAGUAGUUAAUACCUGCUAGCUGUGACGUUAACAACAGAAGAAGCACCGGCUAACUCCGUGCCAGCAGCCGCGGUAAUACGGAGGGUGCGAGCGUUAAUCGGAAUUACUGGGCGUAAAGCGCACGCAGGUGGUUUGUUAAGCUAGAUGUGAAAGCCCAGGGCUCAACCUUGGAAUAGCAUUUAGAACUGGCAGGCUAGAGUCUUGGAGAGGGGAGUGGAAUUCCAGGUGUAGCGGUGAAAUGCGUAGAGAUCUGGAGGAACAUCAGUGGCGAAGGCGACUCCCUGGCCAAAGACUGACACUCAUGUGCGAAAGUGUGGGUAGCGAACAGGAUUAGAUACCCUGGUAGUCCACACCGUAAACGCUGUCUACUAGCUGUUUGUGA